rnacentral:rRNA from 1 species
GACGAACGCUGGCGGCGUGCCUAAUACAUGCAAGUCGAACGAAGCUGUUUUAACUGGUGCUUGCACCGACUUAAACAACUGAGUGGCGAACGGGUGAGUAACACGUGGUAACCUGCCCCAAAGCGGGGGAUAACAUUUGGAAACAGAUGCUAAUACCGCAUAACCACAGAAACCACAUGGUUUCUGUGUCAAAGAUGGUUUCGGCUAUCACUUUGGGAUGGACCCGCGGCGUAUUAGCUAGUUGGUAAGGUAAAGGCUUACCAAGGCAAUGAUACGUAGCCGAACUGAGAGGUUGAUCGGCCACAUUGGGACUGAGACACGGCCCAAACUCCUACGGGAGGCAGCAGUAGGGAAUCUUCCACAAUGGACGAAAGUCUGAUGGAGCAACGCCGCGUGAGUGAAGAAGGUUUUCGGAUCGUAAAACUCUGUUGUCAGAGAAGAACGUGUGCGAGAGUAACUGUUCGUGCAGUGACGGUAUCUGGCCAGAAAGCCACGGCUAACUACGUGCCAGCAGCCGCCGUAA